rnacentral:misc_RNA from 1 species
CGCUCCCUCCCUCCCUCUACCGGCCACAUUUGCAGAGAGGGAGCGUUGGGAGAGAAAUCGUCGAAGAUGAAGUACAAUCCAAGAGUAUCCUCCUCCCGCCGCAAGAGCAGGAAGGCACAUUUCACGGCGCCUUCCAGCCUUCGCCGGGUGUUGAUGAGCGCCCCUUUGUCCUCAGAGUUGCGAGCCAAGUACAGCGUUAGGUCCAUGCCAGUAAGGAAAGACGACGAGGUUCAGGUGGUUCGUGGAACCUACAAGGGUCGUGAAGGAAAAGUUGUCCAAGUCUACCGUAAGAAGUGGGUGAUCCACAUUGAGCGCAUUACCAGAGAGAAGGUUAAUGGAUCCACUGUUAACGUUGGUAUUCACCCGUCCAAGGUUGUUAUCUCCAAGCUCAGGCUCGACAAGGACCGUAGGUCUCUUCUUGACCGUAAGGCUAAGGGUCGUGCUGCUGCCGAUAAGGAUAAGGGUACUAAGUUCACCACCGAGGAAAUCAUGCAGGCAAUUGAUUAGUUCUUCUUCUAUCUAUUGUGUUUCUGUUUUGUUAUAUCUUAUUGCUUUUGCUACUUUGAAGCUUGUUGGAAUAGCUAAAGAGUAUUUUUCUGAGACUCUGAAUUUUGUUUCAGUAUUUUAAUAGUAUGCAAUUUUGGG